CAUUGUUGCAAGUCGAGCUCAAGGGCGUUGGCUGAGAUUAUACCGUUCAAGCCUCCUGGCUUUAUACCUGAACGAGUUCAUGCUCGCGAAGGGAAUGCUGUGUCGCUGCCGU
rnacentral:ncRNA from 16 species